UACGGGGGGGGCAAGCGUUGUUCGGAAUUACUGGGCGUAAAGGGCUCGUAGGUGGCCAACUAAGUCAGACGUGAAAUCCCUCGGCUUAACCGGGGAACUGCGUCUGAUACUGGAUGGCUUGAGAUUGGGAGAGGGAUGCGGAAUUCCAGGUGUAGCGGUGAAAUGCGUAGAGAUGUGGAGGAACACCAGUGGCGAAGGCGACUCUUUGGCCUGUAACUGACGCUGAGGCGCGAAAGCGUGGGGAGCGAACAGG
rnacentral:rRNA from 1 species